UCACAAACACACAGACUUAAAGUCUGUUUCUCUCUCUCCCUCGUGACCAUACACCGGAGCCGGAGACGAGGACCGAGCUCCGGUACCUUUCGUCUUCUCCGAUGAUCACACGACACCCCCACACCCUGAGCAUCCACCUCACCGCACAUCCACACCUCCCCUCUCCUGUCUCUUCGUCGAGUGGCGGUUGGCAGCGCCGCCUGAAGCGGCGGCGGUGGUGGCCACUGUCGCUGAUUUCCGGCGAAACACACCCCCCUUUUAGCGAUCCAGCAAAUGAUCACCACCACCACGGUCCGGUGGUGGUGCGGCGACGGUAACAAGCGGGAGAGAGAGAGAACGAGAGACGGCGGAGCACAGCAGUAGCGGCAGCGGUGGUAGGCAUCUCAGACCGACAGUCGACGUCUCGGACCGGCAGUCGGUGUCUCGGUCCGGCGGUCUGAGUCAAGGACCGGCGGUCCUUGCCAUUAUUCGACGGGGUCUGUUCGGAAGUCCUUGUUCGGGUCAGGUUAGUUCAAGUUAAAAGCUGGUUCUUGUCGGCUCAUGCUCAGAGUCGUUCCGGAUUUGGUGCUCGAGUCAGCUCGGUUCGUUCGGGUCAAAACUUGUUCAACACAGUAUUGUUCAAGGUCUGGGUUACUCAGUUUAAACUCAGAUACAGUGUUGGAGAUUAUUUCGGGAGUUUCGGGUCUCGUUUCUGGACAAAGUUGCUUUGGUUCAGAUUUCACUUUGGUUUCCGGUGCGGCUUGGAUCUCGGCUCAGAUUUCACAGUAAACAAAGUCAACAACGGUCGGGUUUGGUCAGCUUUGGUCAACCUGUGGUGCGGGUCGCGCGGUUCGGUUCAGUCAACGUGGGUCAGCGGUGGUUCGGGUUCGUGAAUCGGGUCGACUCGGUGCAACUCGGCUCGACCCGGUUAACUCAUUAAUUGACUCGGUCAAACUGAGUCAACUCAGCCGACCAACUCAGUUGACCCAGUCAACUCGGUCAACACGCGUUUCGGCAUAAUGAUUUGGAAUAUUGUAGAUUGCACACUAGCGAGUCUCGUCUCGGAAACGACAUCACGAAGUCGUAUUUAGCUAGCUUUGCACAAGGCGGUUCAGGUUGCAUUUCAAAGUUAUGGAACGGUUGAAAUAGGAGAGCCAUUGGAGAUUCGAGUACUUAGUGGGCGUUCAUUUUCUAGAAGUCUUAGCUUAUUUGCUUUCGCUGUGCAAUGAAGAUACCAGUCUAGUCACGCCAGCUCUGAUAAUUUCGGGGUGUGACACUAACAUUCACAUCUUUGAACAAAAAUAAACAUACACUAACCUUAAUUUGAAGGAGGAGAAGAGGUGGUGACGGUGGAGAUGAGGUGGUGGCCGUGGAGACGAAGUGGUGACGGUGGAGACUAGCAUACACAUAUACAUACACCAAGAAUCAAGAAAUUAACAACAUAUAUAAAAAAUAAACAAGAAAUUCAAUAUAAAAUUAACAAUACUAACCGAUUUGAAGUAGAAUUGGUAAAAAUGAAGAGAUAUAGCCGAUUUGGAGAAGAACCUGUGAGAGGAUAUGAAAGGUUUUGGGGAAAGUGGAAAAAGGAGGGAAGAAAUGGCACUGUUUUCUCUGUUUAUUCGACGGACCAAUAAGGGCGACAACCUUUCGCCGCUAUUGAUAUAAUACUGUCGCUGCUAUUAACCUGGAUAAACCAUAUCCGUUGAAUGAGGAUAAGAAACGUAUGGCUAGGGUUUUACUUGGGACACCAGGUGCGGAUAAGGGCAAUAGCGGCGACCAAUUGGAUGUCGCCGCUAAUAGUGUCGCCACUAUUGGUCCUUUUUCUUGUAGUGGAAAAGGAAAUUCACCGGAAGACCAAACCAGAUUCAUCAAAAUAAAAUCUGACGCGUCUAAACAUAGAUCCCAGGAGACCAUGAAUUCAACCCAUCAAUCAAGAACAAAAUAACAAUCGAACAAAGAACAAGAAGAGAGGGAUUAACCCUAAUACAUGUUAGGGGGGAUUUUCCAAUCCUAAGGAUCAUGGAUCCUCAAGUACUAUCAGGAUCACGGAUCCUCAAUUCUGUUUGAAUUAUGGAUCCUCAGAGGGUGUUGCAGGAUCAGGAUCCAGGAUCCUCAUUGUUAUCCUUACACUAACGGUUGUCUACCUUGUAUGUGAGCUUGUUUUGCAGGAGUAUAUUCAUGGACCAAGUCUUACCGAUAUUCUUUGAGAGUAUGCUCUUAAUAUUCCGCACGUGCUUGGCCCUUGUGAACGUUAUGGAGAUCGUGGGAAGCUUGCACAUUUAGCGGAUAGUUAGUUGUUUUAGUUAUUUCUAAAUUAAAAAGGGGAUAACAAGCUUGAGUUAGAACACUUAGCUAAUUUUAGCAAACACACACUUUCGAAACAGCUCUCAAUAGCUCUCAACAGUUCAUUUGGCGAUUUCAUACACAUUGCACUAUAGUGAUCCUUGUAACAAGCUUGUUAUCAUCCCGAGUUGUGACAAUCAUUUGUUUAAUUAUAGUUGGUGAUCGGUAGUUUCCUCGUAUAAA